rnacentral:rRNA from 1 species
GAAACGAUAGCUAAUACCGGAUAACAGCAUUAACUGCGUGGUUAAUGUUUAAAAGUUGGUUUUGCUAACACUAUGAGAUGGCUUUGCGGUGCAUUAGCUAGUUGGUGGGGUAAAGGGCCUACCAAGGCGACGAUGCAUAGCCGACCUGAGAGGGUGAUCGGCCACACUGGGACUGAGACACGGCCCAG